AGCAGCCGCGGUAAUUCCAGCUCCCAUAGCGUAUAUUAAAGUUGUUGCAGUUAAAAAGCUCGUAGCUGAAUUUCGGGGUUAGUAAGUUGGUCAUGCCUUCGGUAUGUACUGGCUUUACUGAUUCCUCCUUCUUGACGAACCGUGAUGUCAUUAAUUUGGUGUUGCGGGAAAUCAGGACUGUUACUUUGAAAAAAUUAGAGUGUUUAAAGCAGGCUAACGCUUGAAUACAUUAGCAUGGAAUAAUGAAAUAGGACGUUAAUCCUAUUUUGUUGGUUUCUAGGAUCGACGUAAUGAUUAAUAGGGAUAGUUGGGGGCAUUAGUAUUCAAUUGCCAGAGGUGAAAUUCUUGGAUUUAUUGAAGACUAACUACUGCGAAAGCAUUUGCCAAGGAUGUUUUCAUUAAUCAAGAACGAAAGUUAGGGGAUCGAAGACGAUCAGAUACCGUCGUAGUCUUAACCAUAAACUAUGCCGACUAGGGAUCGGAUGAUGUUAUUUUAAUGACUCAUUCGGCGCCUUACGGG
rnacentral:rRNA from 1 species